AUAAAUUAUGGCUUAUUAAGUGUAUUUGUGAAUAGUUAUUUUAUAAAAAAUAUUUAUUAAAAUAAUUGGGGGCGUAAUGUAAAUGAGUUUCUGUUUUAAAUUAUAGUUUAUGAGUAUCGUAAGAGAAGGAAUUUAUAUUUUAAAAAAGAAAUUGUUAUGUACUUUUUGUAUCACGGGUAAACUAUAUAUUUAUAGUAUUUCAUAAAAUCCCGAAAAGAGAAGAGCUAGCUUUUUAAUUUUUUUUCGUUUUAAAGAAAUGUGUAAUUGAGAGUUAGUGAUGAUAUUUUAGUCGAUUUUCAUAUAUCUGGUUCUGUUCGAUAAAGUUUAAUUUUUUUUUAGGUGAAAAGUUACUUAGGUUUUAUGUCAUUGGGGUUGAGCUCGGUGAUGUGGGUGUUUAUUGGAGCUGGAAAUGAAUAUUUUUGGAUUAGGCUUGGAAUCAGCCAUAUUAAUAUUACGUUUUAGUUAAUUUUAUGAUAAAAUUAAUUUUUGUAGCUUUGUAGGUCUUAGUAGAGUGGAUUGUUUUAUAAUGGAUUAAAGUUAGUUAUAAUGUUUGUAUAAGUAGAUUAUGUGGUGUGAGUAGUGUAUAUAAUGGACAUAUAUGUCUUAGAUUGUAAGGAGUUAGGUGGUAAUAUAAAGGAACUCGGCAAAUAAGCUUCUGCCUGUUUAUCAAAAACAUGUCUCCAUGAUUUUGGAUGUGGAGUCUGGCCUGCCCAUUGAACAAAUAGUUUAAAAGGCCGCGGUAAUUUAACCGUGCAAAGGUAGCAUAGUCAGUAGUCUUUUAAUUGAGGGCUGGAAUGAAGGGUUGGACAAGAAGUUAACUGUCUCUGUAUUAUAGAUUGAAUUUUACUUUUAAGUGAAAAGGCUUAGAUGUGUUUAUGGGACGAUAAGACCCUAUAAAAUUUGAACAAGUUGAUUUUAGCGUGUUGAGUUAGGAGUUUAAAUUAAAGUUGUGUUAUCUUGUUUUGUUGGGGUGAUAGAGAUAUAAAAUAUAAGUUUAGGAGCUGUCUUUAAAUAUAUAAUAAUUUUGUUUAGUUUAAUGUGAUCCUUAAUUUGGGAUUAAAAGAUUAAAUUACUUUAGGGAUAACAGCGUAAUUGUUUCUGAGAGUUCUUAUCGACGAAAUUAGUUGCGACCUCGAUGUUGAAUUAAAGUUUCUUUUAAAUGUAGCAGUUUAAGAUGGUAGGUCUGUUCGACCUUUAAAACUUUACAUGAUUUGAGUUCAAACCGGUGUGAGCCAGGUUGGUUUCUAUCUUUAAAUUAGAUAAUAAUUUGCUUUAGUACGAGAGGAUUUGGUAGAUGAAAUAAUUUUUAUUAAUGGAAGUAUUUUAAUUUAG
rnacentral:rRNA from 1 species